rnacentral:lncRNA from 1 species
AUGGACAUCUACUUGUGUAUUUAUGUGAUUUUUCAUAGCCAUGUGAGGCACAGUGAAACAGAUGCUCAUGGCAACUUCUGCUCCAGAAGCUUCCCAGAUAUGACUGACCUCAGACACAGGAAUUCAGAAAUCUCACUGCCUGCCCCUUUGCCAUUAAGAAAACAGAUACUGGAUCCCCAAACCCAUGAUGAAGAAAGAGGCUGGAAGAACUCUCAGAAGAGUUUUCAAGACUAUGAGUGCCCUUGCCAAAACCCGGUGGAAAAAUCCCUAGAGAAACAGAGGCCAUAGAAGUUUAAAGGACCUUCUAUUUUUGUUGCAUUUUAAAAAAUAGCUUAGAGGAGUGUGGUUUUUAAUAGUAAAGCUUCAAACACCCCAGCACUGGGCAUGGCUUGGAGUUGAAGUAGCAAGGAUGGGUAUGUGUCCCCCAUGAAGCUUCACAUGGCAAAGUGGAUGAGCAAAGCGACCAUCAAACAGAAGAGACCGGUGGCCUCAGUCAGAGCAAACCCCAGGAUGGCACAGGAAAAGAGCUCCUGCUUUGGAGAUGGGUCCUGGCAUAGCCAAUCAUCCAGCAACCAAACGCUCUUCCAAUGCUGUACCCUGAACCAGUCACACCAACUGUGGUGGCCUUAGCACCAAUAAGCUUGCCACUGUGUUAGUGCCCCAGGAGACAAUGUGGGUCUGGAAUUCCCGUCUGGCCACCUGGAGUAGGAAGCUGCUGAAGGAAGGCUUUUGAGAUGUCUUUGCCUACUCAAGAAGGAGGCAGAUAGAGGCCUGAUUAGACCUCUGGUAAAACAGUGAAUCAGAGCUGGAGAAAUGAGUAGCAUCUCAGUGUUUGCAUCGGUUCAACAUGCAUUCCCACUGCCCUGCUGCCCUGUGCGGCCCCCAGGGCUCACCACUCUCCCAUUAGUCUUUCUUAGCCCAUGUGUCAGUAUGCAGCUGUUUAAAAUGGUAAAUAUUUCUAACCUAUUUAAAUAUUUAGUUGGCUUAGUAUCUGCUCCUUGUUUUUCACUUUUAGAGCUUUAUUGGCCUCUCAUCUAACUUUUCAUGUAAACUUUAAAAUCAUCUUGUCUAGUCACAUUCUCCCCACAAAAAAAGGUGGUAUUUUUAUUAGUAUGUCAUUAAAUUUAGAAAUUAACUUUUGGAGAAUCCAUAUCCUUACAAUGCAAGGGUGUCCUGUCCAAGAACACAGUGUGUCUUUCUAUUUGCUUAAAUCUACUUUGGGAUCUUUCAGAGCUUUAAAAUAUUGACUCAUAGAGGUAUUAUUCAGUCUUGUUAGGUUUAUUUCUAAGCAUUUUUCUUUUUCUGUUGCAUUUGUGAAUGAGGGAUAGUGUCAUUUUGGGUUUUCCAAGCAUACAGUCAUAUAUCUACAAAUAGCUAUUAUAUUAGAUUCUUUGUAUGUUGAAAACCAAAUUAUUUUUAAAAUUGUAUACUUGUAAAUUCUUUCUCUUCUCAGUAUUGAUUAGUACCUCUAGUACAAUAUUAAAUAAUGAGUUAAGGAAAUCUUUGUCUUGUUUCCAACCUGUAGUAGAUUAUACACAAAUGAGCUGGUUAAAUAGUCUUUAAGAAUACCUUUGUGUCUGAUGCUAGAGUUUGAAGCCCACAAAGCAGGCAGUUAGGAAGGGAAGAUGGAUGUAAGGAAGAGAGUGAGGAUAAGCUAGAACUAACACUCACGAGGAUGGAUUACAACACAUGCCAAUUCUCAGGAGGUGCUGGAAGCCUUCACCUCACAGUUAAACAGAUAACUGCCCCAGGAGUCAGAGAAGCUGAAGGUCAAUCCAGGGGAAGGUGAAGUAGUUGCAGUAUUGGCUACUGUUCCAUGCCAGUGCAAUCAGCUAGCAUACCAGUACAACAUGUAUGAACUACAGAAUGGCUGCUGCUCCAUUUCUGCCCUCCAAAUCUUACACAAGAAUCUGUCUGUGACCCACCUUAACUGGAAACCUACACGGAAGGGAAUUUUGGGAAAUCAGUUGGUUUGGACAAAGCUAGUAUCACAUUAUAAAGUGACUAUACUAAUUUAAUGGGCCUGUUCUAACAUUUUGUUUCAUUAAGAAUGCUACUUCCUACAUCAUACUUUUUAAAAAACAGAUAAGAAUUGUUCUUUUUUUGUUCAAAUGUAUAUUUAGCAUUUAUUGACAUAAUAAUAAGCUAUUUAUCUUUGAUCUUUUAAUGUGG